rnacentral:rRNA from 1 species
GAUGAACGCUGGCGGCGUGCCUAAUACAUGCAAGUCGAGCGAACGGACGAGAAGCUUGCUUCUCUGAUGUUAGCGGCGGACGGGUGAGUAACACGUGGAUAACCUACCUAUAAGACUGGGAUAACUUCGGGAAACCGGAGCUACUACCGGAUAAUAUUUUGAACCGCAUGGUUCAAAAGUGAAAGACGGUCUUGCUGUCACUUAUAGAUGGAUCCGCGCUGCAUUAGCUAGUUGGUAAGGUAACGGCUUACCAAGGCAACGAUGCAUAGCCGACCUAAGAGGGUGAUCGGCCACACUGGAACGGAGACACGGUCCAGACUCCUACGGGAGGCAGCAGUAGGGAAGCUUCCGCAAUGGGCGAAAGCCUGACGGAGCAACGCCGCGUGAGUGAUGAAGGUCUUCGGAUCGUAAAACUCUGUUAUUAGGGAAGAACAGAUGUGUAAGUAACUGUGCACAUCUUGACGGUACCUAAUCAGAAAGCCACGGCUAACUACGU